CAGGCUCAGAAAUAGGGGGCUGGGGUGGGGCCCCGGGAUGCAGCCCAGGGCACAGACCUUUCAGAGAAAGGAACUGGGAGUGACGCCCGUGUGACGAAGACCUGGGGAAACGGCUGAGAGGAUGGAGAGAGGGACAAGCAGCGAGAGACACUGGAAACUGGCACUACUUCUGAGCGGACAGGAGGACUCUGGCCUAGGCCCAUCGAGGCGGAGAGGCAGGUGACAGCUAACCACAACUCCAAGGCCAGUGAGCCACCGCAGAUUUCAUUAGGGCAGUGAACCUCUAAGGCCAAAGGACAGUAUAAAAUAGCAAACAAGACAUGACACGAGAAGUUGAGAGCCUGAGGAGGAAAGGCACAUGGGUAACUUUAARGACACUUCCCCUGCUUUGGAAUCAGGAGGAGCACACUGUCGUCUCUGCAGAGCCCGCUGUAGGUGAUCUCCUCACCAGCAUCCUGGAGAAUGUAGUUUUGUCUGUAUGCUUG